UACGUAGGGUGCGAGCGUUGUCCGGAAUUACUGGGCGUAAAGAGCUCGUAGGUGGUUUGUCGCGUUGUCCGUGAAAACUCACAACUCAAUUGUGGGCGUGCGGGCGAUACGGGCAGACUGGAGUACUGCAGGGGAGACUGGACUUCCUGGUGUAGCGGUGGAAUGCGCAGAUAUCAGGAAGAACACCCGUGGCGAAGGCGGCUCUCUGGGACGGUACUGACGGCUGAGACGCGAAAGCGUGGGGAGCGAACAGG
rnacentral:rRNA from 1 species